CCUACGGGGUGCUGCAGUGGGGAAUAUUGGACAAUGGGCGAAAGCCUGAUCCAGCCAUGCCGCGUGUGUGAAGAAGGCCUUCGGGUUGUAAAGCACUUUCAGUGGGGAAGAAAGCCUUGGGGCUAAUACCCUCGAGGAAGGACAUCACCCACAGAAGAAGCACCGGCUAACUCCGUGCCAGCAGCCGCGGUAAUACGGAGGGUGCGAGCGUUAAUCGGAAUUACUGGGCGUAAAGCGCGCGUAGGCGGUCUGAUAAGCCGGUUGUGAAAGCCCCGGGCUCAACCUGGGAACGGCAUCCGGAACUGUCAGGCUAGAGUGCAGGAGAGGAAGGUAGAAUUCCCGGUGUAGCGGUGAAAUGCGUAGAGAUCGGGAGGAAUACCAGUGGCGAAGGCGGCCUUCUGGACUGACACUGACGCUGAGGUGCGAAAUCGUGGGUAGCAAACAGGAUUAGAUACCCGGGUAGUC
rnacentral:rRNA from 1 species